AGAGUUUGAUCCUGGCUCAGAUUGAACGCUGGCGGAACGCUUUACACAUGCAAGUCGAACGGUAACGCGGAGAGAAGCUUGCUUCUCUCCGGCGACGAGUGGCGAACGGGUGAGUAAUACAUCGGAACGUGUCCGCUCGUGGGGGACAACCAGCCGAAAGGUUGGCUAAUACCGCAUGAGUUCUACGGAAGAAAGAGGGGGACCCGCAAGGGCCUCUCGCGAGCGGAGCGGCCGAUGACUGAUUAGCCGGUUGGUGAGGUAACGGCUCACCAAAGCAACGAUCAGUAGCUGGUCUGAGAGGACGACCAGCCACACUGGGACUGAGACACGGCCCAGACUCCUACGGGAGGCAGCAGUGGGGAAUUUUGGACAAUGGGCGCAAGCCUGAUCCAGCUAUUCCGCGUGUGGGAUGAAGGCCCUCGGGUUGUAAACCACUUUUGUAGAGAACGAAAAGACACCUUCGAAUAAAGGGUGUUGCUGACGGUACUCUAAGAAUAAGCACCGGCUAACUACGUGCCAGCAGCCGCGGUAAUACGUAGGGUGCGAGCGUUAAUCGGAAUUACUGGGCGUAAAGGGUGCGCAGGCGGUUGAGUAAGACAGAUGUGAAAUCCCCGAGCUUAACUCGGGAAUGGCAUAUGUGACUGCUCGACUAGAGUGUGUCAGAGGGAGGUGGAAUUCCACGUGUAGCAGUGAAAUGCGUAGAUAUGCGGAAGAACACCGAUGGCGAAGGCAGCCUCCUGGGACAUAACUGACGCUCAGGCACGAAAGCGUGGGGAGCAAACAGGAUUAGAUACCCUGGUAGUCCACGCCCUAAACGAUGUUAACUAGUUGUUGGGAAGUAAAAUUCUCAGUAACGCAGCCAACGCGAGAAGUUAACCGCCUGGGAAGUACGGUCGCAAGACUAAAACUCAAAGGAAUUGACGGGGACCCGCACAA
rnacentral:rRNA from 1 species